rnacentral:pre_miRNA from 1 species
CCUGAGCUCAUUUUUCGGUUUUUAGAUGCAAUAUUUUGAUUCUUUGUUUUAUUUGAAAUUUUUUAUGAAUAAUAAUUUUUUUGUUAGUAGAUGAUAAACCAUAAAUAAUACUUUAUGCGUGAUUAUUUUUUAAAGUUUUUUAUAAUUUUUUAAAUAAGACAAAUGGUCAAAGUGAUGAACACGGAGAUCGAAAAAUGAAGUUAUU